AAGCAAUCUCAGUAGCCAGAGGAGGACCGGCCACCAGGUCAAAAUCAAAUAUAAGAACAUUCUUAGCAAUGCCACCAGAAAGCAGACUGCAUCCAUGGGUACUGGUGGGGGACCGCCACCGGAGGAGCUCACACCAGCUGAGAUCCUGGCCCUUGGGAUAAAUAAGGGGCCCAAGAUAGUUGGGAUCGAGGGGGGGAGCUCCUCCAACCCUGUGGCCCCAGAGAUCCGGGCCCCAUAUGUUGAAGUGACAGGGGAUCAAAUUAUUCUCCUUGACCCACCACAAGUGCACAUUGAGGAUGCAGCCGGG